rnacentral:rRNA from 1 species
CACGGGGGGAGCAAGCGUUGUUCGGAAUCACUGGGCGUAAAGGGCGUCUAGGCGGUACGGUAAGUGGGAUGUGAAAGCCCCCGGCUCACCCGGGGAUCUGCAUUCCAAACUGCCGAACUUGAGUAUGGGAGAGGACAGGGGAAUUCCUGGUGUAGCGGUGAAAUGCGUAGAUAUCAGGAGGAACACCGGUGGCGAAAGCGCCUGUCUGGCCCAAUACUGACGCUGAAGCGCGAAAGCUAGGGGAGCAAACGGG